rnacentral:tRNA from 1 species
AGUUAAAAGCGCAAGGGAUAGGCCUAAUGUCUUGAAAACAUUAAGAAAGAAGUUCAAAUCUUCUGUUAACUU